rnacentral:rRNA from 1 species
AUGGCGGAGGAAGAAAGGCUCGCUUCAGGAGGCAGAAGCCAGCAACGCGAUGAUGUUCAGAUUAGUUGUGGGUGGAAAGUCAGCGCCAGCUCCAGGGUGGGGUAUCCGGCGAUGCGGCUAGAAGGCGGGCAUCUGGAGGAACAGGUGACGGAGCUCGGGCAGCGGGGCGGGGUGGAUGGGUCGCAGCUGCGGGGCUCAAGGCACCAGCGACUGGGGUGGUUGGUGGAGGUGCGGAACUCAAAGGUGUCGUACGUUCGGUGUAUGAUCGGUCGAAACGAGAAGAAGUUCGACUACAUCGAUCAACCGCGUUGUCAAACGCUUCUGCUUUCGGUCUACGAGGAUUUGGCUAUGGUGGAAGAGUUAUUUGAGUGGAAAGCAACUUGGGGAAGGCUAGAAAUCAAGGUUCAAAUGGUAGGAAUGGUAUCUCUUGAUCUCAACACAUGA